AUCUGGAGAAGGUGUCUACUAGUACUAGAAGACAGACAAGGGGAGGGGUUCCUGUGAUGGGAUCAGUCAGAUGCCUGCCUGGCCGCUCCCCGUGAGGGGACUUGGGCUCCUCUUAGCAUUGGCAGGCCGGUAUAAACUUCCGGCUCAGAUUGAGCUAUGCCUGAUGCUGCCUUAAGCCUUAUGAGGUCGCCAAGGAACCGCAGAAACUCCUGGAGGGCAGAGCUGUGUCUGCCAUCUUCAUCAUUGCAUUACCACCACCCAGCACAGUGCCUGGCACAAAAGAGUUGCUCAAUAAAUAAAUCAGGAUGAAUGAAUAAACACAUGGAUAGGCACUUUGAACUACAGAUGAGUUUAAAUACUUUGUGUUUUUCUUAGUCAAACAUGUGCAAUUAAGCAUGUGAUAAAUGAUAUGAUGACCACAUGUGUGUCUUGCCUGAUGUUCUUUGCAAUCACUAAAUGAAGUCAAUUGUGCCUGUUUUGACAGUUCUGUUUUCAACCUAAUGAUCUGUUUCUUUUAACUUCUGGCUGUUGGCUUUGUUUGGGUUUGUUAGCCUGACAAAGUGGCAGAUAUUGGUAUUUGCUCUUUUGUUUAAAUGUCUGUCAUGAACUUUAAAAAUGCCUUUGCUUUUGGUAAGAAACCCUAGUUAGGACAGUCUAGCAGUCAGGAUGAUUUGGGUUCUGGUGCAGUAACAACAAUCCCCAAAUCUCAGUGGAUCCAUGCAGUGAGGUAUUUGUUUGUGUGUUUGUUUUUUGAGACAGGGUCUCACUCUCUCACCCAGACUAGGGUGCAAUGGUGCAACCUCAGCUCACUGCAACCUAUGGCUCCCAGACUCAAGCAAUUCUCCUGCCUCCUGAGUAGCUGGGAUUACAGGCCUGUGCCACUACUGUCUCACUAAUUUUUGUACUUUAGUAGAGACAGGAUAUCACCAUGUUAGCCAGGCUGAUCUUGAACUCCUGACCUCAAAUGAUCCACCCGCCUUGGCCUCCCAAAGUGCUGGGAUGACAGGCAUGAGCCACCAUGCCUGGCCACAGUGAGGCUUAUUCUUGGUCACGUUGCAUGUCUGGGCUGUGUUAGGGCAUUGUGGGGUGGUCUGUUCAUUGUGUUCACUCAGGGAUCCAGGCUGA
rnacentral:lncRNA from 10 species